rnacentral:rRNA from 1 species
GAUGAACGCUGGCGGCGUGCCUAAUACAUGCAAGUCGAGCGAACAGAUGAGGAGCUUGCUCCUCUGACGUUAGCGGCGGACGGGUGAGUAACACGUGGAUAACCUACCUAUAAGACUGGGAUAACUUCGGGAAACCGGAGCUAAUACCGGAUAAUAUAUUGAACCGCAUGGUUCAAUAGUGAAAGACGGUUUUGCUGUCACUUAUAGAUGGAUCCGCGCCGCAUUAGCUAGUUGGUAAGGUAACGGCUUACCAAGGCAACGAUGCGUAGCCGACCUGAGAGGGUGAUCGGCCACACUGGAACUGCGACACGGUCCAGACUCCUACGGGAGGCCGCAGUAGGGAAUCUUCCGCAAUGGGCGAAAGCCUGACGGAGCAACGCCGCGUGAGUGAUGAAGGUCUUCGGAUCGUAAAACUCUGUUAUUAGGGAAGAACAAAUGUGUAAGUAACUAUGCACGUCUUGACGGUACCUAAUCAGAAAGCCACGGCUAACUACGUG